UACGUAGGGUGCAAGCGUUGUCCGGAAUUAUUGGGCGUAAAGAGCUCGUAGGCGGUUCGUCGCGUCGGCUGUGAAAACCUGAGGCUCAACCUCAGGCCUGCAGUCGAUACGGGCGGACUUGAGUACUGCAGGGGAGACUGGAAUUCCUGGUGUAGCGAUGAAAUGCGCAGAUAUCAGGAGGAACACCGGUGGCGAAGGCGGGUCUCUGGGCAGUAACUGACGCUGAGGAGCGAAAGCGUGGGGAGCGAACAGG
rnacentral:rRNA from 1 species